AUGAUCGUCCUUUCUUCUUCUUCGAACGCCUUCUACCACUCUUCCGUUUUCUCCUUCGUAUUUCAUCAUCUCACCUCCGCUCAACAUCUUCACGGAUUCAAAUCAACAAAAAGCAAAAACAGAAAUCAUAUAAUUAAUGAAAGAAGAUUACCGAUCGGAGAAGCUUCUAACGCCUCUUCAAACUCAGAUGAGUGGAAGGAGAUUGAGGAUGAGAAGGUGUUUCAGAGAUGGAGAAAGAUGAUGAUGAAGAUGAUUAUGGAGUCUCAGAGUGAACGAGUUCAGAGAAUUGGGAGAGAGAUGAAGAGUGAAAUGUGA